ensembl:lncRNA
GGGCUGCUGGGGGAAGGGACAGUUGGAAGAAAUGGCCAUUAGCUUUGAUCCUCUACCAGCAAAGGUCAAACUCCUGGCCAGAGAGGUCAUCUGGAGACGUUUGCCCUGGAGCCUGUGACGAGAAGCACGCUGCCUCAGAAGUGACUUCUGUGUUUGCCAGGGAUGCGGGAGGAAGCAUAGCCCCUGAGAGAAGUCAGCCUGGGUGGCUUCCCUGCAAGCUCAGACUGGGGCGUUUCAAAGGGCCAGGCCGGACUUCUGGCCCCAGACACCUUCAGCAGGAUGUUCCUGACCUGAACAGUUCCGAUCCACCAACUACACUGGAAGCUGAGUCUGGUUUCUGAGUUUUGGAGUGCUCCUUUCUAGGAGGGGUGGAGGAGUGGAUUCAGCUGGUUGUAUCAGCUGUGCUGUGAUCUCUGACAUUUUCUUUGUUCCCACAUAAACCAAGCGCAC